UACAGAGGCCCCGAGCGUUAAUCGGAAUCACUGGGCUUAAAGGGUGCGUAGGCGGGUCAGUAAGCGCUUUGUGAAAUCCCACAGCUCAACUGUGGAACCGCAGGGCGAACUGCUGACCUUGAGGAAGCUAGAGGCUGGUAGAACGAUAGGUGGAGCGGUGGAAUGCGUAGAGAUCUAUCGGAAUGCCGAAAGUGAAGACAGCCAGCUGGGGCUUUCCUGACGCUAAAGCACGAAAGCGUGGGGAGCAAACCGG
rnacentral:rRNA from 1 species